rnacentral:rRNA from 1 species
CCGUGCCGUAUGCAGGGGGACAACAGUCAGAAAUGACUGCUAAUACCGCAUAAGCACACAAUGCUGCAUGGCAUGGUGUGAAAAGAUUUAUCGGCAUACGAUGGCCCCGCGUCUGAUUAGCCAGUUGGCAGGGUAAUGGCCUACCAAAGCAACGAUCAGUAGCCGGCUUGAGAGAGUGACCGGCCACAUUGGGACUGAGACACGGCCCAGACUCCUACGGGAGGCAGCAG